rnacentral:rRNA from 1 species
GAUGAACGCUAGCUACAGGCUUAACACAUGCAAGGUCGAGGGGAAACGACAUCGAAAGCUUGCUUUGAUGGGCGUCGACCGGCGCACGGGUGAGUAACGCGUAUCCAACCUGCCCACCACUUGGGGAUAACCUUGCGAAAGUAAGACUAAUACCCAAUGAUAUCUCUAGAAGACAUCUGAAAGAGAUUAAAGAUUUAUCGGUGAUGGAUGGGGAUGCGUCUGAUUAGCUUGUUGGCGGGGUAACGGCCCACCAAGGCAACGAUCAGUAGGGGUUCUGAGAGGAAGGUCCCCCACACUGGUACUGAGACACGGACCAGACUCCUACGGGAGGCAGCAGUGAGGAAUAUUGGUCAAUGGGCGCAGGCCUGAACCAGCCAAGUCGCGUGAGGGAAGACGGUCCUACGGAUUGUAAACCUCUUUUGUCGGGGAGUAACGUGCGGGACGGGUCCCGUAUUGAGAGUACCCGAAGAAAAAGCAUCGGCUAACUCCGUG